AGGGCACCACCAGGAGUGGAGCCUGCGGCUUAAUUUGACUCAACACGGGAAAUCUCACCAGGCCCGGACACCGGAAGGAUUGACAGAUUGAGAGCUCUUUCUUGAUUCGGUGGGUGGUGGUGCAUGGCCGUUCUUAGUUGGUGGAGCGAUUUGUCUGGUUAAUUCCGAUAACGAACGAGACUCUGGCCUACUAACUAGACGUUGGAUCCCUUUGUGGGUCCAUCGCAGCUUCUUAGAGGGACGGGCGGCGUUUAGCCGCACGAGAUUGAGCAAUAACAGGUCUGUGAUGCCCUUAGAUGUUCUGGGCUGCACGCGCGCUACACUGAAGGAAUCAGCGUGUGUUCCCUAUCCGAGAGGAUUGGGAAACCCGUUGAACCUCCUUCGUGAUGGGGAUUGGGGAUUGCAAUUAUUCCCCAUGAACGAGGAAUUCCCAGUAGGCGCGAGUCAUAAGCUUGCGUCGAUUACGUCCCUGCCCUUUGUACACACCGCCCGUCGCUACUACCGAUCGAGUGAUUUAGU
rnacentral:rRNA from 1 species